UACGGGGGGAGCAAACGUUGUUCGGAAUCACUGGGCGUAAAGGGCGCGUAGGCGGCCCGCACAAGUCUGCGGUGAAAACCUCCGGCUUAACCGGGGGCCGGCCGUGGAAACUGUCGGGCUGGAGGCUGGGAGAGGGCAGCGGAAUUCCCGGUGUAGCGGUGAAAUGCGUAGAGAUCGGGAGGAACACCGGUGGCGAAGGCGGCUGCCUGGACCAGUCCUGACGCUGAGGCGCGAAAGCUAGGGGAGCAAACAGG
rnacentral:rRNA from 1 species